GACGAACGCUGGCGGCGUGCUUAACACAUGCAAGUCGAACGGAAAGGCCCUGCUUUUGUGGGGUGCUCGAGUGGCGAACGGGUGAGUAACACGUGAGUAACCUGCCCUUGACUUUGGGAUAACUUCAGGAAACUGGGGCUAAUACCGGAUAGGAGCUCCUGCUGCAUGGUGGGGGUUGGAAAGUUUCGGCGGUUGGGGAUGGACUCGCGGCUUAUCAGCUUGUUGGUGGGGUAGUGGCUUACCAAGGCUUUGACGGGUAGCCGGCCUGAGAGGGUGACCGGCCACAUUGGGACUGAGAUACGGCCCAGACUCCUACGGGGGGCAGCAGGGGAGAAUAUUGCACAAUGGGCGGAAGCCUGAUGCAGCAACGCCGCGUGCGGGAUGACGGCCUUCGGGUUGUAAACCGCUUUCGCCUGUGACGAAGCGUGAGUGACGGUAAUGGGUAAAGAAGCACCGGCUAACUACGUG
rnacentral:rRNA from 1 species